UAAUACAGAGAUGGCAAGCGUUGUUCGGAAUCACUGGGCUUAAAGCGCGUGUAGGCGGAGCGAUAGGCGCCUUGUGAAAUCCCUCGGCUCAACCGAGGAACUGCUUGGCGAACCGGCGCUCUUGAGGCAGGUAGAGGUAACUGGAACCAUAGGUGGAGCGGUGAAAUGCGUAGAGAUCUAUGGGAACGCCGGUGGCGAAAGCGAGUUACUGGGCCUGUUCUGACGCUGAGACGCGAAAGCGUGGGUAGCAAACAGGAUUAGAUACCCUGGUAGUCCACGCCGUAAACGAUGCGCACUAGGUAUGAGAGGUCUGACGCCGCUCGUGCCGAAACAAAAGCGUUAAGUGCGCCGCCUGGGGAGUACGGCCGCAAGGCUA
rnacentral:rRNA from 1 species